rnacentral:rRNA from 1 species
UACGUAGGGGGCAAGCGUUGUCCGGAAUCAUUGGGCGUAAAGCGCGUGUAGGCGGCUCGGUAAGUCUGCUGUGAAAGUCCAGGGCUCAACCCUGGGAUGCCGGUGGAUACUGUCGAGCUCGAGUCCGGAAGAGGCGAGUGGAAUUCCUGGUGUAGCGGUGAAAUGCGCAGAUAUCAGGAAGAACACCUAUGGCGAAAGCAGCUCUCUGGGACGGUACUGACGCUGAGACGCGAAAGCGUGGGGAGCGAACAGG